AAACAUUAUCAUGUAGCUAGACAGUAAUUGCGACGAAUUAGACGUAAAACAACUACUAACGUUAGCUAGGACCGUAGGUCUUUCUACGCCUGCUAGUUCUACGCCGGUUAAACUCGGUAAAAUGUUUGAAUAUCUAGCAUUUGACCUAUCUCGUUUACAAACUACUGGUAAAAAUUGCUUACAUUUCCUAAAAUGUUAUGUUCAAUAACAAUGUUAGAAUUAGUGUGAAAAUACAGAAACAUACGUGAAUUAGAGUAUUUUAUCGGCCAUUGACAUUAUAAUGUGGCAUACGCUAACAACUAGGAACAUAAAAACUCCCAAAAAGGCUAGCAAUAAAUCCCAAAACAUUUCCGGGUCAAAGUUGAAAAAAAAAGUGACAUUGAUUUCUGAAACAGCCGUGACUAUAAUGUUGUUGUCACACAUCGAAUGACACUAUAAAAAUAAAAAAAAUUAAGAGGAGAAUACAAUGUAUUUUCUAUAAAACUUGAAACGUGUUUUAAAGAGGACGGAACGCGCUUUGGCUCGCUGAAUAGCUUUUGCAGCAGUGACACGACGUUAUCAGCCGUAAAGUUGUAGGUUGUACGAAUUGACCAGCUGAGGGCAAAGAUCCCCGUUUUCCUGUUAGCUAACACAACUGUCACAAUUGUCAAAAUGCCUCCUCAUCUUGACUGGAGAAUGGUGAUGGAUGCUGACCCAGAACAGCUGCAGGAGAGUGGAGAUGCAGAGAUAAUCAACCACAUGUUUUUACAGGUCAAACGAUGGGAGCGGGAGUUGAAAGAUGGAAGCCCAGAGAAAAUUGUUCACCUCUUGCGAGUCGUUCAAGGCCUUCUGAAGGUGUCCAAUGCUAUUAUUACCCAGACACAUCCAGAGAUGCAUUACUCAAGCUCACUAAAACUGUGCUGAAAUGAUUUUAUCCAGUGUUAAUAUCAGAGUGGAAUACAUUACGUAGUUGCUUUGAAGGAAUAAGCUCUACACAGUGUGGUAUAAUUAAUAUAAAAAAGUUUGAUUAUAUUUGCUUCAGAUACUUGACCUGCUUUUGGGUGGAUUUACAAUAUUCAUCUGUUAUAGUCUCAGUUUCAUGUAACGUACAGUUGUGGUCAAAUAUAUUGGCAGCCUUGCACUUUUCUUAAUUAAAUC
rnacentral:lncRNA from 1 species